AGUCAAGUGAAUAAGUGCAUCAGGCGGAUGCCUUGGCGAUGAUAGGCGACGAAGGACGUGUAAGCCUGCGAAAAGCGCGGGGGAGCUGGCAAUAAAGCUAUGAUUCCGCGAUGUCCGAAUGGGGAAACCCACUGCAUUCUGUGCAGUAUCCUAAGUUGAAUACAUAGGCUUAGAGAAGCGAACCCGGAGAACUGAACCAUCUAAGUACCCGGAGGAAAAGAAAUCAACCGAGAUUCCGCAAGUAGUGGCGAGCGAACGCGGAGGAGCCUGUACGUAAUAACUGUCGAGAUAGAAGAACAAGCUGGGAAGCUUGACCAUAGCGGGUGACAGUCCCGUAUUCGAAAUCUCAACAGCGGUACUAAGCGUACGAAAAGUAGGGCGGGACACGUGAAAUCCUGUCUGAAUAUGGGGGGACCAUCCUCCAAGGCUAAAUACUCAUCAUCGACCGAUAGUGAACCAGUACCGUGAGGGAAAGGCGAAAAGAACCCCGGGAGGGGAGUGAAACAGAACCUGAAACCUGAUGCAUACAAACAGUGGGAGCGCCCUAGUGGUGUGACUGCGUACCUUUUGUAUAAUGGGUCAACGACUUACAUUCAGUAGCGAGCUUAACCGGAUAGGGGAGGCGUAGGGAAACCGAGUCUUAAUAGGGCGAUGAGUUGCUGGGUGUAGACCCGAAACCGAGUGAUCUAUCCAUGGUCAGGUUGAAGGUGCCGUAACAGGUACUGGAGGACCGAACCCACGCAUGUUGCAAAAUGCGGGGAUGAGCUGUGGGUAGGGGUGAAAGGCUAAACAAACUCGGAGAUAGCUGGUUCUCCCCGAAAACUAUUUAGGUAGUGCCUCGAGCAAGACACUGAUGGGGGUAAAGCACUGUUAUGGCUAGGGGGUUAUUGCAACUUACCAACCCAUGGCAAACUCAGAAUACCAUCAAGUGGUUCCUCGGGAGACAGACAGCGGGUGCUAACGUCCGUUGUCAAGAGGGAAACAACCCAGACCGCCAGCUAAGGUCCCAAAUGAUAGAUUAAGUGGUAAACGAAGUGGGAAGGCACAGACAGCCAGGAUGUUGGCUUAGAAGCAGCCAUCAUUUAAAGAAAGCGUAAUAGCUCACUGGUCGAGUCGUCCUGCGCGGAAGAUGUAACGGGGCUCAAAUCUAUAACCGAAGCUGCGGAUGCCGGUUUACCGGCAUGGUAGGGGAGCGUUCUGUAGGCUGAUGAAGGUGCAUUGUAAAGUGUGCUGGAGGUAUCAGAAGUGCGAAUGUUGACAUGAGUAGCGAUAAAGCGGGUGAAAAGCCCGCUCGCCGAAAGCCCAAGGUUUCCUACGCAACGUUCAUCGGCGUAGGGUGAGUCGGCCCCUAAGGCGAGGCAGAAAUGCGUAGUCGAUGGGAAACAGGUUAAUAUUCCUGUACUUGAUUCAAAUGCGAUGUGGGGACGGAGAAGGUUAGGUUGGCAAGCUGUUGGAAUAGCUUGUUUAAGCCGGUAGGUGGAAGACUUAGGCAAAUCCGGGUUUUCUUAACACCGAGAAGUGAUGACGAGUGUCUACGGACACGAAGCAACCGAUACCACGCUUCCAGGAAAAGCCACUAAGCUUCAGUUUGAAUCGAACCGUACCGCAAACCGACACAGGUGGGCAGGAUGAGAAUUCUAAGGCGCUUGAGAGAACUCGGGAGAAGGAACUCGGCAAAUUGAUACCGUAACUUCGGGAGAAGGUAUGCCCUCUAAGGUUAAGGACUUGCUCCGUAAGCCCCGGAGGGUCGCAGAGAAUAGGUGGCUGCGACUGUUUAUUAAAAACACAGCACUCUGCCAACACGAAAGUGGACGUAUAGGGUGUGACGCCUGCCCGGUGCCGGAAGGUUAAUUGAAGAUGUGCAAGCAUCGGAUCGAAGCCCCGGUAAACGGCGGCCGUAACUAUAACGGUCCUAAGGUAGCGAAAUUCCUUGUCGGGUAAGUUCCGACCCGCACGAAUGGCGUAACGAUGGCCACACUGUCUCCUCCCGAGACUCAGCGAAGUUGAAGUGGUUGUGAAGAUGCAAUCUACCCGCUGCUAGACGGAAAGACCCCGUGAACCUUUACUGUAGCUUUGCAUUGGACUUUGAAGUCACUUGUGUAGGAUAGGUGGGAGGCUUGGAAGCAGAGACGCCAGUCUCUGUGGAGUCGUCCUUGAAAUACCACCCUGGUGUCUUUGAGGUUCUAACCCAGACCCGUCAUCCGGGUCGGGGACCGUGCAUGGUAGGCAGUUUGACUGGGGCGGUCUCCUCCCAAAGCGUAACGGAGGAGUUCGAAGGUUACCUAGGUCCGGUCGGAAAUCGGACUGAUAGUGCAAUGGCAAAAGGUAGCUUAACUGCGAGACCGACAAGUCGGGCAGGUGCGAAAGCAGGACAUAGUGAUCCGGUGGUUCUGUAUGGAAGGGCCAUCGCUCAACGGAUAAAAGGUACUCCGGGGAUAACAGGCUGAUUCCGCCCAAGAGUUCAUAUCGACGGCGGAGUUUGGCACCUCGAUGUCGGCUCAUCACAUCCUGGGGCUGUAGUCGGUCCCAAGGGUAUGGCUGUUCGCCAUUUAAAGUGGUACGUGAGCUGGGUUUAAAACGUCGUGAGACAGUUUGGUCCCUAUCUGCAGUGGGCGUUGGAAGUUUGACGGGGGCUGCUCCUAGUACGAGAGGACCGGAGUGGACGAACCUCUGGUGUACCGGUUGUAACGCCAGUUGCAUAGCCGGGUAGCUAAGUUCGGAAGAGAUAAGCGCUGAAAGCAUCUAAGCGCGAAACUCGCCUGAAGAUGAGACUUCCCUUGCGGUUUAACCGCACUAAAGGGUCGUUCGAGACCAGGACGUUGAUAGGUGGGGUGUGGAAGCGCGGUAACGCGUGAAGCUAACCCAUACUAAUUGCCCGUGAGGCUUGACUCU
rnacentral:rRNA from 1 species